GAUGAACGCUCGCGAUAGGCUUAACACAUGCAAGUCGAGGGGCAGCACAAGGUAGCUUGCUAUCUGGGUGGCGACCGGCGCACGGGUGCGUAACGCGUAUGCAACUUGCCCUAUACAGGAGGAUAACCCGUCGAAAGACGGACUAAUACUGCGUAUGCUCACAACUUGGCAUCAAGUGGUGAGGAAAGAAAUUCGGUAUAGGAUAGGCAUGCGUCCCAUUAGCUUGUUGGUGAGGUAACGGCUCACCAAGGCAACGAUGGGUAGGGGAACUGAGAGGUUUAUCCCCCACACUGGUACUGAGACACGGACCAGACUCCUACGGGAGGCAGCAGUGAGGAAUAUUGGUCAAUGGGCGCGAGCCUGAACCAGCCAUGUCGCGUGAAGGAUGACUGUCUUAUGGAUUGUAAACUUCUUUUAUACGGGAAUAACAAGAGUCACGUGUGACUCCCUGCAUGUACCGUAUGAAUAAGCAUCGGCUAACUCCGUG
rnacentral:rRNA from 1 species